rnacentral:rRNA from 1 species
UACGUAGGGUGCAAGCGUUAAUCGGAAUUACUGGGCGUAAAGCGUGCGCAGGCGGUUGUGCAAGACAGGUGUGAAAUCCCCGGGCUUAACCUGGGAACUGCACUUGUGACUGCACAGCUGGAGUACGGCAGAGGGGGAUGGAAUUCCGCGUGUAGCAGUGAAAUGCGUAGAUAUCGAGAGGAACACCUGCGGCGAAGGCGGGUUGCUGGGCCGACACUGACGCUGAUGCGCGAAAGCCAGGGGAGCGAACGGG